rnacentral:rRNA from 1 species
AGCAGCUGCGGUAAUUCCAGCUCCAAUAGCGUAUAUUAAAGUUGUUGCAGUUAAAAAGCUCGUAGUUGAAUUUCGGGAUUAGUGCGCCGGUCGUGCCUUCGGUAUGUACUGGUGUUACUGGUUCCUACCUUCUGACGAACCGUCAUGUCAUUAAUUUGGUGUGGCGGGGAAUCAGGACUGUUACUUUGAAAAAAUUAGAGUGUUUAAAGCAGGCUCGCGCUUGAAUACAUUAGCAUGGAAUAAUGAAAUAGGACGUUCGAUCCUAUUUUGUUGGUUUCUAGGAUUGACGUAAUGAUUAAUAGGGAUAGUUGGGGGCAUUAGUAUUCAAUUGUCAGAGGUGAAAUUCUUGGAUUUAU